rnacentral:rRNA from 1 species
GCCCUUGGGGAAUUUUCCGCAAUGGGUGAAAGCCUGACGGAGCAAGACCGCGUGAGGGAGGAAGGCUCUUGGGUUGUAAACCUCUUUUCUCAGGGAAGAAGCUCUGACGGUACCUGAGGAAUCAGCCUCGGCUAACUCCGUGCCAGCAGCCGCGGUAAUACGGAGGAGGCAAGCGUUAUCCGGAAUUAUUGGGCGUAAAGCGUCCGCAGGUGGCGAUUCAAGUCUGCUGUCAAAGCACGGGGCUUAACUCCGUUAAGGCAGUGGAAACUGAAUAGCUAGAGUGCCGUAGGGGUAGAGGGAAUUCCCGGUGUAGCGGUGAAAUGCGUAGAGAUCGGGAAGAACAUCGGUGGCGAAAGCGCUCUACUGGACGGCAACUGACACUCAGGGACGAAAGGCCUUUAGGGGAGCGAAUGGGAUUAGAUACCCCAGUAGUCAAGGGCGAAUUCGUU